GAUGAAGAACGUAGCGAAAUGCGAUAAGUAAUGUGAAUUGCAGAAUUCCGUGAAUCAUCGAAUCUUUGAACGCACAUUGCGCCCCCUGGCAUUCCGGGGGGCAUGCCUGUCCGAGCGUCAUUUCUGCCCUCAAGCACGGCUUGUGUGUUGGGUGUGGUCCCCCCGGGGACCUGCCCGAAAGGCAGCGGCGACGUCCGUCUGGUCCUCGAGCAUAUGGGGCUCUGUCACUCGCUCGGGAAGGACCUGCGGGGGUUGGUCACCACCAUGUUUUACCACGGUUGACCUCGGAUCAGGUAGGAGUUACCCGCUGAACUUAAGCAUAUCAAUAAGCGGAGGA
rnacentral:misc_RNA from 1 species